rnacentral:rRNA from 1 species
UACAGAGGUCUCGAGCGUUAGGCGGAAUCACUGGGCUUAAAGCGUGUGUAGGUGGAUCGGUAAGUACCUUGUGAAAUCCCACAGCUUAACUGUGGAACUGCUUGGUAUACUGCCAGUCUUGAGCCAGCUAGGGGCUACUGGAACAAAUGGUGGAGCGGUGAAAUGCGUAGAUAUCAUUUGGAACGCCAAUGGUGAAAACAGGUAGCUGGGGCUGUGCUGACACUGAGACACGAAAGCCAGGGGAGCAAACGGG